UUCUUAUUUCAAGGAUCCCAAAUAAAGCAAAAAGUCAAUAGAUAAUUAUCAGGUAUUUACUUUCCACUAUAUAGUCUCUAAAUGAACACCAGGUCAAUAUCUGGUUGUAAAGUAAACCACAAUAACGAUGAAUCUUCCCUUCCCGUCAGAGCCCCAUGUUUAAUAGCCUAUAUUCAGGCCUAAUCUUUACUAUAAUGGUAAGGGUGAAGCACUGAUCUGAUCCAGGGCCAGUUUACCUCUCUCCCCUGUGUGGUCUGACCUUGUGUGCUCUCUGUGUGACCUCACAGUGACCUGGACCCACUCCAGGCCCCUCAUUGGUCAGUCCGAGUCAGGAGCACAGACAACCCCAUGUCCUUGCUCGGUGACUUCAUGACAGAGUUCUUUAAGCUGUGCUCCAGGAAGGAGUCAACAGAGGAGAUUCUGGGAAGAGGUCCAUUUGAGGAGGAAGGCAAAGACGACAUCAGCCGUUCCCUGUCUAAGCUGACGGAGCCCACAGCCGUGCCCUGUCUAAGCUGACGGAGCCCACAGCCGUGCCCUGUCUAAGCUGACGGAGCCCACAGCCGUGCCCUGUCUAAGCUGACGGAGCCCACAGCCGUGCCCUGUCUAAGCUGACGGAGCCCACAGCCGUGCCCUGUCUAAGCUGACGGAGCCCACAGCCGUGCCCUGUCCAAGC